rnacentral:rRNA from 1 species
AGUGAACGCUGGCGGCAGGCCUAACACAUGCAAGUCGAGCGGCAGCGCGGGGGCAACCCUGGCGGCGAGCGGCGGACGGGUGAGGAAUUCGUCGGAAUCUGCCUUUUUGUGGGGGAUAACGUAGGGAAACUUACGCUAAUACCGCAUACGUCCUACGGGAGAAAGUGGGGGACCGCAAGGCCUCACGCAGAAAGAUGAGCCGACGACCGAUUAGCUAGUUGGUGGGGUAAAGGCCCACCAAGGCGACGAUCGGUAGCUGGUCUGAGAGGAUGAUCAGCCACACUGGGACUGAGACACGGCCCAGACUCCUACGGGUGGCAGCAGUGGGGAAUAUUGGACAAUGGGCGCAAGCCUGAUCCAGCCAUGCCGCGUGUGUGAAGAAGGCCUUCGGGUUGUAAAGCACUUUUGUCCGGAAAGAAAUCCCUGGAGCUAAUACCUUCGGGGGAUGACGGUACCGGAAGAAUAAGCACCGGCUAACUUCGUG